UCCUGAGUGGCUCAGUAAGUUGAGCGUCUGACUUUGGCUCAGGUCAUGAUCUCAUGGUUUGUGGGUUCGAGUCCUACAUCGGGUU
rnacentral:tRNA from 1 species